GAUCCUGGCUCAGAUUGAACGCUGGCGGAAUGCUUUACACAUGCAAGUCGAGCGGCAGCGCGGGGGGCAACCCUGGCGGCGAGCGGCGAACGGGUGAGUAACAUAUCGGAACGUACCCAGUCGUGGGGGAUAACUAUCCGAAAGGAUAGCUAAUACCGCAUACGACCUGAGGGUGAAAGCGGGGGACCGUAAGGCCUCGCGCGAUUGGAGCGGCCGAUAUCGGAUUAGCUAGUUGGUGAGGUAAAGGCUCACCAAGCCGACGAUCUGUAGCUGGUCUGAGAGGACGACCAGCCACACUGGGACUGAGACACGGCCCAGACUCCUACGGGAGGCAGCAGUGGGGAAUUUUGGACAAUGGGCGAAAGCCUGAUCCAGCCAUUCCGCGUGCAGGAUGAAGGCCCUCGGGUUGUAAACUGCUUUUGUACGGAACGAAACGGUCCUGGUUAAUACCUGGGGCUAAUGACGGUACCGUAAGAAUAAGCACCGGCUAACUACGUG
rnacentral:rRNA from 1 species